UACCGCACAGCAUAACGAUAUCCUCAUACCU
rnacentral:piRNA from 1 species